UCAGAAGAGGGGACUAAAAAAACCUGAUUCGGUUUGACGAGCAAAGAGAGAAAGAAGAAAAAGAAAGGGGAAGAGGGACGAACCGGGGCGGUGGUGGGGGUUCAGGCUGUGAAGAUUUGGAGGGAGGCGUUCUUGGGGACAAGGCAGAGGGGACACGCGUCAGAUUUGGAUUCGCAGGCGCGGCAGAGUCAGAGGUGCCUGCAGGGAAGGAGGAGCAUGCACGCCUCCUCGUCGCCGCAUGCCCUGCAGUAGCAAACCCUCCUCCUCUCGGAGAGGAUACCGACCUCGACGUCGUCGUCGUGGGGCUUGGCGGCGAAGGAGCAGGAUUGGGCAUCGUCAAUGGCGGGGGAGGAGUCGCCGAAGCCUCGGGGAGAGAAAGAGAGGAUAACUUAAGGGAAUAGUUUAAUUAGGUAUGGGCAAAAUAGGUAUUUUAAUUAGGUUUUAACUCUGGUAUACAUUUAACCCAUGUUUAAUCCGAGUUAAUUUAACAGGGGAUAACUGCGGCGGUAUUUUGGAAUAACGGUGGAACAUAUGAGGGGUAUUUUAGAAAGAAAAAAAAGUAGGAAUAAAUCGGAUAUUUUCAAAUGUAUGAGGGGUAUAUAGGCAAUUAUCCCUAGAUUAUAUUAUUCAACCAACUACUCACUCAACCCUUGGGGGACCACAUCAUCCUAUCCAUACAUUUUUUAAUCCAAAGGCUAAAAAACUAAUAGCACCAGAUCCUUGGUGCUAUUGAUAGCAUUCCAGCCUAAUUCUAUAUAUAUAUAUAUAUAUAUAUAAAACAUUUUAUAUUGGAAUUUUUUUUGGG
rnacentral:lncRNA from 1 species